rnacentral:rRNA from 1 species
AGACAGUUCGGUCCCUAUCUGCUGUGGGCGUUGGAUGAUUGAGGGGAGCUGCUCCUAGUACGAGAGGACCGGAGUGGACGAACCGCUGGUGUUCGGGUUGUGUCGCCAGACGCAUUGCCCGGUAGCUAAGUUCGGCACAGAUAAGCGCUGAAAGCAUCUAAGCGCGAAGCUGGCCCCGAGAUGAGUCAUCCCUAGGGCUUCGAGCUCUCUAAAGGGUUGUUCUAGACUAGAACGUUGAUAGGCAGGGUGUGUAAGCGCUGUGAGGCGUUGAGCUAACCUGUACUAAUUGCCCGUGAGGCUUAACCAUACAACACCCAAG